UAUUGUGCUUUGUAUUCUGUGCACCGUACCUGCUCUGCUUCUCUCUCUCUCUUUGUUUCUUUCUUUCUCUCUCUCCAUUAGCUUCUCGAGCUCUGCAUAAGCUGAUAAGCAGUGGCCAUGUCGGCAUGUUCCGCGGUCCACCGUAGCUUAUGCAGAGUCCCAUUGGUGACGCUUCUCUUAUUCACAUCACUCUUAGUCACACUAGCAUAUGCAGCGGUGAUCUCUCUCUAAAGAUUCUUGAUCCGUACACAACUUUACCUUUUGUUAUUCUUGAGUUGAAUACGGUGCUAAAUUAUGAAGAAUUGCAGGUGCUGGACUCUUGCUCUGCGGCCACGGACUGUGGUCCUGGACUCUAUUGUGGCAACUGCCCUGCUUUGGGUAGGACUCAGCCUCUCUGCACCAGAGGCCAAGCUAUCACACCCACUUCAAUUAUUGGAGGGUUGCCUUUCAACAAGUAUACGUGGUUGGUGACUCAUAAUUCGUUUAGCAUAGUGGAUGCACAGCCUUUGCCCGGGGUUCAGAGGUUAACAUUUUACAAUCAAGAAGACUCGGUCACCAAUCAAUUGAACAAUGGAGUGAGGGGACUGAUGUUGGAUUUGUACGAUUUUGCGGAUGAUAUCUGGCUCUGCCAUUCUUUUCGGGGGCAAUGUUUCAACUUCACUGCCUUUCAACCUGCCAUUAACACUUUGAGGGAAGUGGAAGCUUUCUUGAGCCAAAACCCAACUGAGAUUGUAACCAUUAUAAUCGAGGACUAUGUCCAUACUCCAAAAGGGUUGAUAACGCUGUUCACUAAUGCUGGAUUGGACAAGUAUUGGUUUCCUGUGUCUAAAAUGCCUAAAAAGGGUGAUGAUUGGCCCACUGUGAAUGAGAUGGUGCAAGCGAAUUACCGGCUUUUGGUUUUCACCUCUAUUGCUUCUAAGGAAGCAGAGGAAGGAAUUGCUUAUCAGUGGAAGUAUAUGAAGGAAAAUGAGGGUAUAUACACACUAGCUUACUUUUCUGACUUUGGAUGUAUAUGUAUUUACAAUAACGGCAUCCUAUUGUUUUGGGUUUUAGCCGGUGAUCCUGGGGUGAAAUCAGGCUCGUGUCCAAACAGAAAAGAGUCAAAGCCACUUACUUCGAAAGGUGCAUCUCUUUUCCUGAUGAAUUAUUUCCCAACAUAUCCAGUUGAAGAUCAAGCAUGCAAAGAGCAUUCAACCCCACUUGCUGAGAUGGUUGGUACCUGUUAUAAAGCAGCAGGAAAUGUGAUGCCCAACUUUUUGGCCGUCAACUUCUAUAUGAGGAGUGAUGGAGGUGGUGCUUUUGAUGCUUUGGAUAGAAUGAAUGGCGCGAUGGUCUGUGGCUGCAGUACUAUCACUGCCUGCCAGGCUGGAGCACCUUUUGGAUCUUGCAAAAAUGUUGCUGUGCCGAAUAGAAGUCCUCUAACCAGUACUGCUGGAAGCUUUUCUGGGUCUGUUCAGUUCACAAAUUCAGCUUCAACAGUCCAUUCUUCAAGUUACUUAGUUUUGUUAGUUAUUAGUGGUGUUUUUAUUAUGAUGAAUAUAGUGAGAAACCAGUAGGUAGACCAUCGACCAUUAUUGAUCAAACUGUAGUAGAUGUCUAUAGUAUGUCGGUGAAUUUUGGAGCUGGAACUGGUAGUGCUUCAUACCUAUCUUUCUCAAGAGAAAUGCUGCAAAGAAACGGAGGUUAAGCAGAACACUGAGAUUGAUUUUAUCUGAGAGACGCAGAUGUGCUGCAAAGUGACUCAGGUUUUUUGUUAAUAGGUUGUAGGAGUAAAGAAAUGCAAGUGCAGCAGGUGUCAAGAAAUGUACCUUUUCUUUUGCCCUGGUUUCCUUGUCUCGUACCUUUGUGUUUUAGUUAUGUUUUUAUAUGGAAAUCUGGCAUGUUGUUCGACAUUUUUGGAGAAUGGAAUUGGAACUUCUGUUCUGUGUCCAAUAA